rnacentral:lncRNA from 1 species
UUGUUUUGUGUAAAAAAUAUUUUAUUAAUUGAUCUCCUCGAAGCCUAAAGUUGAUGAGAAAAUUAUAAAACUAAAAACCAAGAAUUUUCGAUUCCAUAAACCAUAUGUUAUAAAUACGACUUGGGGUAGCGAGAAAACGUUUAAAUAAAAUUUUAGAUUUCCCAUAAGAUAAAACUCAAACAUAAAUGACUUUUCACUAGCAAUUAAGGUAAAAUUUACUUUUAAUUAACAAAAAGAUGUAGUGAAUAUAGUAAUAUUUUAGAUAUGCACAAAGGUAAAAGAUAACAACUCGUAGUAUAAAUAAUUCAAAUAAUAUAUCCAUUGUUAGCGUGUUAAUUGUAUUUAAGGAUAUAUGUUUUUGAAUAAAACCAACAUAGUUUCAAAAAAGCAAAGCAAAAACUUGAUGUUUGAGUUUGACAUAUGAAGUGCGGGCCUGGCAUUAAUGUGUGAAGACAAGACAAGAGAAGUCGUAAAAAAUGAAACUCGUUGAAAAAUGGUUGUCGAUGGAACCUAACCAAACCAACCCACCUAGCAAGAAAGCAAUGGUUUAUUCGACGGGCAACCUUUGAAAGAAAAACGACACACAUUCAGAGAUCAGAUGAUGAAAGGGAGAAGAAUGUUUCCCGAAUUCCGUAGUCAAUUUGCGCAUUUUCACUUUACUCCAUUUUAAGAUUUCACUUCCAUCGCUGGUAUCUAUUGAACCAAGUAU